GCCUGAUUCCUCAAUAUAAUGAAGAACAAGUAAGAUUUAAAAAGACAUUGUAGGAAUAGCAAAAGAAUUAGCAGCUGAGAAUCUGCACUGUGCAAAGGAAGACACUAGAAAAGAUACAAGGACAGUUGAACACAGAGGGUAUAAGGAGAAGAAGUUUAAGGCAGAAAAUAUUAAAGAGUUAAAGUGUCAGCAGCUGAAUAAAUGAGAAAGCCUAUUUAAUUACUGAAACUACAUCUUAUAAGUACCACUUAUAAGUAAGAUUAUGUUAUAUUUUGGGUUUACAUAUUUUAUUAUUUCAAUAUCUCUCCCAAGAAAAUGCUAAUAAUCUCAACACUCUUUGGAAAAUGUUUUCACAAGAAGAGGAUAUCAAAGGAGCAAAGGCCACACAGUCUUAGCGCACUGCAACUGUUGGACUAGGAUUAACAAGAAAAAGAAAAAGAGAAAAAGAAAAAGAAAAAGAAAAAAAAGAAAAAGAAAAAGAAAAAGAAAAAGAAAAAGAAAAAGAAAAAGAAAAAGAAAAAGAAAAAGAAAAAGAAAAAGAAAAAGAAAAAGAAAAAGAAAAAGAAAAAGGAAAAGAAAAAGGAAAAGAAAAAGAGAAGCCAAGAGGGAUAAUUUGUUUCUCCAGGGCAAAUGAUAGCUACAGCAAACAGCUUUACAGGCUCUCUAAGGAUACCAAAUCUCUACACCUCUGACAUUAGGCCAGCCAAAAGACUUGUACAUGGAAGUUUUACGUUGAAGAUACCUAACUUAAUCCAGCCAAAGUGCCCAAUCUGGGGAGAUUACUGGAGUCCAGACAAACCAUGAAAGAUGUAGAAAAUGGAACUCCAAGCUGACAUCUUUGCUCUACAGUGUCCACUGUGACGUGAGAAAGCAGCUGCAUGUACCAGAGCCUCAAGGCUAUUCUGUUUUCAAGUCUUUCCUAUUGUUCAUAUCUGGAAUGUUCAGAUUCCGUUUCUUCCCAGCAGAAGAACCAUCUACUUUCCCUUGUGGGAAUAUUCCUUGGCAUAGUAGUAGACAACACAUUAUUUUAGUGCAUUAAUAUUUAUGUUUGAGGGUCUUAUUUAAAGUACAUCUUUGUGAAUGCUGUUCAGACUUGCAUCCAGAAAAUAUUUUUAAUUUAAAUCCAGUUCUUUCUUAGAAUAUAAACAUUCUCCUUUCUACAAUGUACAUAAACUGCAUAAAUAAAAGGCCUUUUUCACCUCUGAUAUUUCA
rnacentral:lncRNA from 1 species